GAACGGGUGAGUAACGCGUUGGUGACCUGCCCCGAAGAGGGGGACAACAACUCGAAAGAGUUGCUAAUACCCCAUGUGGUCACGAGGGUUAGAGUCCUUGUGACUGAAGGAGUAAUCCGCUUUGGGAGGGGCCUGCGUCCCAUCAGCUAGUUGGUAGGGUAAUGGCCUACCAAGGCGAAGACGGGUAGGGGGCCUGAGAGGGUGGCCCCCCACAAUGGAACUGAAACACGGUCCAUACACCUACGGGUGGCAGCAGUAGGGAAUUUCGCACAAUGGGCGAAAGCCUGAUGCAGCAACGCCGCGUGCACGAUGAAGGCCUUCGGGUCGUAAAGUGCUUUUCGGGGAGAUGAGGAAGGACAGUAUCCCCGGAAUAAGGAUCGGCUAACUACGUGCCAGCAGCCGCGGUAAAACGUAGGAUCCGAGCGUUAUCCGAAUUUACUGGGCGUAAAGCGCGUGCAGGCGGUUUGGUAAGUUGGAUGUGAAAGCUCCCGGAUCAACUGGGAGAGGUCGUUCAAAACUGCCAGACUAGAGGGUGGUAGAGGGAGGUGGAAUUCCCGGUGUAGUGGUGAAAUGCGUAGAUAUCGGGAGGAACACCAGUGGCGAAGGCGGCCUCCUGGACCAUUCCUGACGCUAAGACGCGAAAGCUAGGGUAGCAAACGGGAUUAGAAACCCCGGUAGUCCUAGCCGUAAACGAUGUGGACUGGGCGUUGGUGGGGUAAAAUCCAUCAGUGCCGUAGCUAACGCGAUAAGUCCACCGCCUGGGGACUACGACCGCAAGGUUAAAACUCAAAGGAAUUGACGGGGCCCCGCACAAGCAGCGGAGCGUGUGGUUUAAUUCGAUGCUACACGAAGAACCUUACCCGGGUUUGACAUACAGGUGGUAGGGAUCCGAAAGGUGACCGACCCCUCGGGGAGCCUGUACAGGUGCUGCAUGGCUGUCGUCAGCUCGUGCCGUGAGGUGUCCGGUUAAGUCCGGUAACGAGCGCAACCCUUGCCGUAUGUUACAUGUGUCAUGCGGAACUGCCGAAUAAAGUCGGAGGAAGGUGGGGAUGACGUCAAGUCAGCAUGGCCUUUAUAUCCGGGGCUACACACACGCUACAAUGGUCGGUACAAUAGGUCGCAAAGCCGCGAGGUGGAGCCAAUCCAUAAAGCCGGCCUCA
rnacentral:rRNA from 1 species